GCGCACCAGGCGAGAAUCGUUCACAAUGGGCGCAAGCCUGAUGGCGCGACGCCGCGUGUGGGAUGGAGGCCUUCGGGUUGUAAACCACUGUCACAGGGGAAGAAAGGCACGGAUGCUAACAUCGUCCGUGUUUGACGUUACCCUGAGAGGAAGCCACGGCUAACUCCGUGCCAGCAGCCGCGGUAAUACGGAGGUGGCAAGCGUUGUUCGGAAUUACUGGGCGUAAAGGGUGCGCAGGCGGUCUGUUGUGUUCGAUGUGAAAUCCCCCGGCUCACCCGGGGAACUGCAUCGAAAACUGACAGACUUGAGUGCAGGGAGAGGAGAGCGGAAUUUCCGGUGUAGCGGUGAAAUGCGUAGAUAUCGGAAG
rnacentral:rRNA from 1 species